GAUGAACGCUGGCGGCGUGCCUAAUACAUGCAAGUCGAGCGAACGGACGAGAAGCUUGCUUUUCUGAUGUUAGCGGCGGACGGGUGAGUAACACGUGUAUAACCUACCUAUAAGACUGGGAUAACUUCGGGAAACCGGAGCUAAUACCGGAUAAUAUUUUGAACCGCAUGGUUGAAAAGUGAAAGACGGUCUUGCUGUCACUUAUAGAUGGAUCCGCGCUGCAUUAGCUAGUUGGUAAGGUAACGGCUUACCAAGGCAACGAUGCAUAGCCGACCUGAGAGGGUGAUCGGCCACACUGGAACUGAGACGCGCUCCAGACUCCUACGGGAGGCAGCAGUAGGGAAUCUUACGCAAUGGGCGAAAGCCUGACGGAGCAACGCCGCGUGAGUGAUGAAGGUCUUCGGAUCGUAAAACUCUGUUAUUAGGGAAGAACAUAUGUGUAAGUAACUGUGCACAUCUUGACGGUACCUAAUCAGAAAGCCACGGCUAACUACGUG
rnacentral:rRNA from 1 species